rnacentral:rRNA from 1 species
GACGAACGCUGGCGGCGUGCUUAACACAUGCAAGUCGAACGGAAAGGCCCUGCUUUUGUGGGGUGCUCGAGUGGCGAACGGGUGAGUAACACGUGAGUAACCUGCCCUUGACUUUGGGAUAACUUCAGGAAACUGGGGCUAAUACCGGAUAGGAGCUCCUGCUGCAUGGUGGGGGUUGGAAAGUUUCGGCGGUUGGGGAUGGACUCGCGGCUUAUCAGCUUGUUGGUGGGGUAGGGGCUUACCAAGGCUUUCACGGGUAGCCGGCAUGAGAGGGUGACCGGCCACAUUGGGACUGAGAUACGGCCCAGACUCCUACGGGAGGCAGCAGUGGGGAAUAUUGCACAAUGGGCGGAAGCCUGAUGCAGCAACGCCGCGUGCGGGAUGCCGGCCUUCGGGUUGUAAACCGCUUUCGCCUGUGACGAAGCGUGAGUGACGGUAAUGGGUAAAGAAGCACCGGCUAACUACGUG